UUAAAGAAAAUUAGACAAAAAUUGGUCCAGCCAACUAGUCAUAAAUCCUUCCACUGACUUCAUCAAGUCAUGAAGAGGACUCAAGACAAGUUAAACUAGGGGCACCUAAAUCAGUCAUACUGAUUUUCUAGUUAGCAUAGGUCAACUCCAAUCAUUAAGUGAUCUAACCAAAAUAUGAUUUACCAUGUUGGCCAGAUAAG
rnacentral:lncRNA from 1 species